AGUGAACGCUGGCGAUAGGCCUAACACAUGCAAGUCGAACGGCAGCACAGUAAGAGCUUGCUCUUACGGGUGGCGAGUGGCGGACGGGUGAGGAAUACAUCGGAAUCUACUUUUUCGUGGGGGAUAGCGUAGGGAAACUUACGCUAAUACCGCAUACGACCUACGGGUGAAAGCAGGGGAUCUUCGGACCUUGCGCGAUUGAAUGAGCCGAUGUCGGAUUAGCUAGUUGGCGGGGUAAAGGCCCACCAAGGCGACGAUCCGUAGCUGGUCUGAGAGGAUGAUCAGCCACACUGGAACUGAGACACGGUCCAGACUCCUACGGGAGGCAGCAGUGGGGAAUAUUGGACAAUGGGCGCAAGCCUGAUCCAGCCAUACCGCGUGGGUGAAGAAGGCCUUCGGGUUGUAAAGCCCUUUUGUUGGGAAAGAAAAGCAGCAGGUUAAUACCCCGCUGUUCUGACGGUACCCAAAGAAUAAGCACCGGCUAACUUCGUG
rnacentral:rRNA from 1 species